CUGGGCAAUGGCGGGCGCCCCUCCCCCAGCCUCGCUGCCGCCUUGCAGUUUGAUGUCAGACUGCUGUGCUAGCAAUCAGCGAGACUCCGUGGGCGUAGGACCCUCCGAGCCAGGUGCGGGACAUAAUCUCGUGGUGCGCCGUUUUUUAAGCCCGUCGGAAAAGCGCAGUAUUCGAGUGGGAGUGACCUGCUUUUCCAGCAAGGCAUAUGGUUAAUAAAACAUAUUGAGGAUGAAUGAGAAAACAACCUGGUUCCUGGAAGGAGAGAAACAAGGUGGAGUUUUCUCACAGAAACAAGGAGAAGGUCAGAGAGACCUCCGGGAGCAUCUCAUCUUGGAGACAACACAAGCUCAGGAGGCUGCAUCAGCGUUUCUUAUUGGAGGCAUUUUCUUUUCCUCCAGAUUUUGUUUUUGACUGUUAAGGUCAUAGCUACAAACAAUUGAUCAAGCCUAAAAGGGCAUUUAUAAACCACCUACAUCUACAUUUUUUUCUUACUGUGGAUGGAUUUAAAAAGCCAUUUCAAGAUGAAAUCUUACGAGUCAUUUUCACGUCUUCUGAGGGCUGAGAU
rnacentral:lncRNA from 1 species